rnacentral:lncRNA from 1 species
CCCAGUGAGUAGAAACACUAAACAGUUCCUUAAUUACAUGCUCUCAUGAAAUGCAUCACAUCAUCACGGAUGGACAUGACCACCAAAACUCCCUCCAGUGUCAGUAUGUCUGGCCCGGCCAGGUCUUACAACCUCCAUAUGCCUGGCCCGACCAGGUCUUACAACAUCUGUAUGCCUGGCCCGGCCAGGUCUUACAACAUGUGUAUGCCUGGCCCGGCCAGGUCUUACAACAUGUGUAUGCCUGGCCCGGCCAGGUCUUACAACAUCUCUAGGGCUAUUGGGGUCGCCUUGGUCCAUCCACAUCAUCAUGUUCAUCAUAUUAUGCAAUGCGCCAGAUUCGUGAAACUAGUGCAAUCAACCUACUAUAAUCAUCAUGAUGCAUGAAACAUGCUAAAAGCAUUUUAUUUCUUACAAUAAAAGAUUAAGUUGCA